rnacentral:rRNA from 1 species
UUCGAGUGGCGAACGGGUGAGUAACGCGUGGGUAACCUGCCUUACACAGGGGGAUAACACCUGGAAACAGGUGCUAAUACCGCAUAAGCGCACAGGGCCGCAUGGCCCGGUGUGAAAAACUCCGGUGGUGUAAGAUGGACCCGCGUCUGAUUAGCUUGUUGGCGGGGUAGGGGCCCACCAAGGCGACGAUCAGUAGCCGGCCUGAGAGGGUGGACGGCCACAUUGGGACUGAGACACGGCCCAAACUCCUACGGAAGGCAGCAG